UCAUUCUUUCUAUUUCUUUUUCAAGAACCAAGAAUCUAUUUUUCUCCCAUUUUCAUCUCACCCAAAAUUAUACUUCCGAUUCUUCCAAAAUCUCUUGCAUCCUCACCCAAAAUCUCUCGCAUUCUCACCGAUUCUUCCAAAAUCACACUUCGAACUCACAAUCUCUCGUGUUUCUCCUUUCUCCGCCGAUUCUUCAAUGAUCAGUUGUGUGCAUCUUCCGCAUCCCGCGAUUCUUCAAUCAGAAAUUUUCAAUUCGAUUUCUGAAUCAAUUGAUUGCGGGCUGAGGUAGAAGGCUAAAAAGAGACCUAUGAUGUAAAAAUAGGUGAAAAGUGGACUAUUAAUUUAUGUCACUGAUAUGAAAAUGUGGCUGGAAGUGGACUAUUAAUUAAUGCUUGUGAUAUGUAGAUAGCAAAAAAGAUAGAUACUCCAUGAUGCAAUAAUAGUUCUGUUGCUGGUGGUAUGAAGAGCAGGAUCGUCGGUUCUUUUUCCAGUUUGGAAAUAAUCUUAGACCUCCAAUUCUUCUUUUUCGAGGAUCAGUAGGAGCUUACGCAUAUCUCAGAUUGUUACGGGCAAAAAGUCUCAAACUUGACUAUGAAGCAAGGGCUGAGGUAGAAGUCGAAAAAGAGAGCUAUGAUGUAAAAGGAUGAGGUAGAAAGCAAAACAGAUAGAUACCCGAUAAUGCAAUAAUAGUGAAAUUGUGUUUGCUAAAGCUGAACAAAUCUGGUGGUAUGAAGAGCAGGAUCGUCGGUUCUUUUCCAGUAUGGAAAUAAUCUUAGAUUGUUACGUGGGAAAAGUCUCAAAGUUGGCUAUGAAGCAAGGUAAUUUCAAAGGUUAA